rnacentral:lncRNA from 1 species
CAAAAUAAGCAAGUAAUUCUUGGGGUUGGAAUUCAAAAGAAAUAUUAAAAUAAAUGUGCAAUAUAAAGAAAAAGAAUUUUCAUUAUGACUAAAAGAUCCGACUACUCAAUAAAAAAAGGGUAAAAGAAAGCAACAAAAAGGUUUGAACGAAGACAUAUCCUAAGGCUAAUCUAAGUAUAGCUUAUAAUUGACUAAAUCUUGUAAAGAAGCCUAAGACUUGUUUUUUCUUCUCCACGACCUUUGAGGCUUUUUUUGUUGCAAGGGAGGCAUCAUAACACUUGGAAAACUCUUCUUCAGCAGCUAAAACUUUGGAUUCCAUCUCUGCAGCUUCUUGCUUGGCAGCAUCUCGGCAAGCUUUCAACUUCUUCACCUUCUUUCUCGCCUUCUCAAGAGAUUUGCAGGCGGCAGAAACUUCUUUAGAUUUCUCAUCCCUAUCCCUCAAUACAAGCUCGAGAUGUUCUUUGGCUUUUAAAUAUGGCUCUGACUCUUUAAUUGUUGUGGUCUUAUCAACAAGAGUGGAUCGUGCUUAGUUAUAAGAAGUUGCCAUCCCAAAGAAAGACCCCAAUAAAUCCUGCAAGGGGGAAAUAUAUGCCCCCAUUCCACUCAUGUCAUUAAGUAUGACUUCGAUGCCAUCUUGGAUAGAAGAAGCACGAUUCGGAGUAAAGCCUGUAAGUUUGGUACGUAUACUAGCCCAAGCCUUCAUGAUAAACUCCUUUUUAAGCUCUGAAACGACCUUCUUGCCAUAAAAAACAGACAUGGUUACUGCUGGUUGCCUGGAAAAGUUUGACUCCGCAUUUGCUUUGACUUUACCACAAGAGUUAGAAAUAACCUCUUUGGAUGACAAAAGUAACUCCCUUGAGUCUGGACCUACUACAGACUCGCUACUAUCUUGUGGCUUACUUUGAUGAGGAUCUUCCAAAUUUUGGACAUUGUUUAGCUGCGCUUACAAAGAAAAACGUAAUAUGAGGGGUAUAUAAAGGCAAUGCAUAUACUAUGAAAUGGUAGAAGAGUUGAGUCAUUACCUUCUCGAUAGUUGGCGAAGUCUUGGAUGAACUAGAAAGAAUCUCCACAUGGGUAUUAGAAUCACUUUGCUUCAACAAAGAUGGUUUUACCUUUUUCCAACAACGAUCUCUGUGACUACUAUCGCUCUGAUCUUGUAAGAUUCGUUUAUUAAAAGCCGAUUGAGCCAGGGUAGACAAAUCCUCUUUUUGAGUUUUUGCAUGUGAAGGCCCCUUGACUUUGCAUGGAAUUACUGCCUUAGCUUUCAAAACUGGAGGCUUAGCCACAUUUGGGACCUCCUCACCAUGUUCUUAAGGAGUGUCAAUAAUCGGACCUACAACAUUCACCAAAGAUUGUAGAUUAACUUCGAGAAAGAUCCCAUGAACUUUAUCCCACCAAGAUUUAUAUGGAGUGGAUAAAUAUCUUCGCACAUUGGGUGUGGCUUUAGGGAAAGUCGCUUUUGACAUAGAGCCAUGCAAUACACAAAUUUGAUGAAAUUUAAGGCCUUCAUCUAAUAAAGCUCUGCGAAUAUCAUCUUUCAAGACUCUGGAAAGGCCUUGAUAAAAUACAAACUGGCGGUUAACCGGUGUGGACUAUAUGGCUCAAGUAUGAAUGAACCCCCAUAUCUAAAAGGGAGUAAGUUAAAAUGGAGGCUCAUGAAGUAGCUUAUCUCUGACUCGUCACUCUUAUCAUCAUCCUCAAAAUGACAAGGAGCGGUCUGGCUCGGCAUAAUGGAAGCCCAAGUAAUAGUGUCACCUUGAUGGAUGCGUUUUCUGGCAAACUCUCCAUCAAAAUACCUUGUCCCACCCUCGCCGAAAUAUGCCGUCAUCAAUGGAACAGAUUGUCCAUUAGAAAGUGAAAAAUGUGUCUUAAAAUAGUAAACAAGCCAACCAUACACAUAAUGGAUAGGAAAUGAUACUCUGAGCUACUCAGUUGUGAAGAUUUGUAGACUCUAUUAAGACCAUUAUAAAUGCUCGAUAGGACUGGAACGGUAAGACUGAAAAUUUGCUUAUCCGCCAUCAUAGCUGCAAUUCUAAAAGUUCCUGGACGAAUGAAAAAUCCAUCCCUAGAGAGAAAUACAAAGGUGCACAACUAACAUGAUAGGAACGCUGCCAAAUACGUAUCGGUUCUGUGUUCAUGCUUCACUCCAAGUUUAGAAAUCGUGGCAUCAUCUGCACUUGAACACUUCGCGGUAUUUGGAAUAGUCCCAGUUGGGUUAUGGGUUGACUUCAACCGAGCAGAUUUUUUCUCCUUCCUCCGUGUGGCUGACUCGUAUCUUAAUAUCCCUUUGCACCAAAAAUUUAUCCAUUUGCUUAAAGAAACUCUCGGAUUAGAAGCCUCUCCUUCUUGAAGAUGUUGAAAAUCUAUAAACAAGGAUUCACAAGAACGAGGGAUAAAUUUCUCAUUCUUUUCAUCAACACCUGUAAGCUCCUUUGCUUCGGGCACCACUUCUGCAUAAGGAAGGCCUCCGAUAGGCAGACCUCCAAUUUUAUGCAAGUCCCAAAGUGAUAUGGAUAGCUCUCCAACUGAAGUAAGUAAUGUGUUGGUAUUUGGACAUCAAACCUCAAUGUUCUAGUUUCGAUCAUAGGUAAACACUGAAGCAUAAACGGCAUCAUAUAUUUUUGCUGCCUUCAAGGUUUGUGCACUUCUAGCCAAUAUGUCCUCGGUCCAUUCUCAAUAUCCUUGAGUAUGACGAUAUUCAUCGGUUAUCUCCAUGGUACCCCCAACGUACUUAAAAGUACCCGAUGUCCUAAGCAAGGAAGGGUACUCGCAAUAUUCAAUUGACGUUGGUUGGGAGUACGAAGAAGCCAUACUUUAACCAAUCAAUUAGCACCAAUGUCAUGUUCUGAAGUCCAAUCCGACAUAUGGAGAGAAUUUUGUAAGGGUGGCCACGGAUCUGCAUACCUACCUACCAUUGGAGUUUCAGUCAAUAGCCUAGUUAAAAUAGUACCGUCAUCGGCUUCAAUUAGAAGAUACUUUCUUUUAGAGGAUGAAGAUGUGUAAUCUCUAAAGCAAACCAUCUCUACAAGCUGCGUAAAUAAAAAAAAUCUCGAUUAGACACAAAGUCAAGAUUCAAAAAAUAAAAUAAUAUAUAUNNNNNNNNNNNNNNNNNNNNNNNNNNNNNNNUAUAUCAGUAAAGAAAAAGUCAAAGAAAAAAAAAAGUUUUUCAUGUGUUUGGCUCUGGUGAAAUAUAGUCAGGUAUAUUUGAAGUCAAAUUCGUCAGGUCUUAGGUCUUAGGGUAACAGAGGCGAAGUUAGACUUUCACGCCUUAAGCUGAACAUUGAAAAGGACCUAUACUUAGAGAAGAUCAUCGCAUAAAUACAUCGGUGAAAGGGCUCAUACUUAAAGAAAAUUAUUGCACCGUCUUCAAGUAAAAUUGAUCAAACUUAAGGUGACGAAGGCGAAGUUAAACCCUCGCACCUUAAGCCGAUGUCCACCAUCUUCAAAUAAAAUUGAUCGGACUUAAGAUGACGAAGGCGAAAUUAAACUCUCGCACCUUAAGUCGAUGACCGUCAUGAAUGCAUAUUGCUAUUAGUUUCAACCCUAUUAAAAAAAAAAAAAAAAAAGAAGAAAAGGAGAACAAAACAACAAUUAACGAAUUAAGAAAAAAUGCGACUCACCAAUAAUACGCCAGCUAUGGUUGGGCAAGCAACAAGAACAGAAGCGGAUCAUAUGUAUUUAUAGAGAAUGUAAGCGGUGGCUACAUUCUAAGUGAAAUAGGAUUGGAAAAUAUGAGGCGGUGGCAAGUUUAGUUGAAUGAAAAUUAGGAGUAGAUCAAGUGCUUACCAAAUUUAAUUGGCUUAGACGGCACUUUAAUUCCUACAAAUUAAAAUGUAAGGUAGCAAUAUAAUUUCUAUGCUUAUCAGACAAGAGGAUUUAAUGCUUGGAAAGAAAAAACGAAAAGUCAAUUCCUCCUUUUGUUUUUAAUGAUGUCACUUGAAGAAAAGAAAGGACAAGUUUUGUCCUUUAGUCCAAAACUUAAAAAUAUUUAAAUUAAGUUUGAAGUCUGCUAUGGACGGAAAAAAAAUAUAGUAAUAAUUUGCCGUUGAUCAUUGUUAUUUUUUUUCCACAAAUAUUAUUGUCAUAUUAAAUUUUUACUUCAAGCCUAAUCUUCAAAGAUUAAAUAUCUCGAUAAAUCUUAAAGUAGGAGUAUUUAUGAGUGAUGUAAUUUUAUUAAAUUUAAAUUUGUAUAAAAUUUAGAUUAUAUUAAAUUUAAAAUAUAAUAGUCCCAAACAAAUAUUGUAGAUUAAUAUAACUGAAUUAAUUAUUUAAGUCCAAAUAGGUAUGAAUUUAAAUAACGCCCAAGGCUAAUCCAUUAAUUUGAGCUACAAAUGCUGAGUCCAUUUUAUUAAGUACAAAAUAUUGUCAUAUUCUAGAGGCUCAAAUGAGCGCCACAUGUCAAAUUGAUGCAGCAGAACCAUGAAAUAAAAGUCCAUAAAAGACGCCACAUCACUUAAAUCUGAUUGAUUAAAGGAAGUUCAUAUUCAUCAUGACUCUUCCUUUUCUACAACUAUAAAUAGGGAUUUCAUAAUUCGAAAAAGAUUCCAAACCCCAGAAUUCUAACAAAUAACAAGAGAAAGAUCAUGAAUCAAACGCGGCUUAUUUAUAUUCAAGAACAAGCUCAAGAAAGUAACAAGCUCAAAAGCUUAAGUAUUCAAGAUUAAGCUUUAAGCCCUUGAAUUUAUAUUUAAAAAGACAUUAUAACACUCGAAUUGAAAUCAAUAAAUUAAUUGUUGCAAUAUAUUUUUCUUUGUCUCGAAUUAUUUAUUUUUUGCACUCGAAAAUUUUAUUGUCCAACAGUGUGCUUUCAAGAUGAACAUCUACUUUGUUAUUUUUCCAUUUCUCUACACAUUCUUUUAGAUCUCUCUUCUUUGUUCAUCGUUGUUUUUGAUGUUGCCCCCCAUUGCAUUGAGGUUAUUUUUGUUAUUCGUUUUUGUUUGUUGCUUUAAAUUUUUAUUCUUCUUUCUAUUUAUGUUGCUUUAUCUGUUAUUUUAAUUUUUGUAACUUUCGUUCUGCUUUUGUCCCUAAAACGUAAAACCCAAUUUUGAUAUAUUGUAUCUCAAUCAAAUGAACCUUACAAUCGCGUGUAUACACCGUUAAUUCAAAAUAUUCAUAACUGUCGGAAUUAGAAAUUUUAGAUUUUUCUCUCAAGAAUUUAUUUUUUAUUUUUCAUGUUCAUUAUAUGUUUGAUAAUUUGUUCAACAAGAAAUUAUCUGCUCGAGUUCAAGUAAUGAGUUUGGCUUAAUUGAAUUAAAGCUUUGCUUCAGUAUGAUUAUUAGGUACAAAUUUAAAGGUUAAAUAAAAAUGAACAAAUUAUCAUAGAGUAUAUCAUUAAGCGCCCUACAGGUGUAUCGAAGUAAAUAUUUUUAAGACAUAAAUCCUAUAUAUGCAUGGAUUGGUGAGAUAUUCAAAUAAAGUUGUGUUGCUACUUCAUUUGUUUUUCUCAUUAAUUUUCUUUAAUAUCAUGUGAGUUUCGAAUUUGAUUUUGCAAAGGUGUGAUUAUUUUAUUCCUUAUCUCUGAGUUACAUGAUAAAAAAAUGAACCUCGAGCCUAACUCAACCUCAAAAGCUAGCUCAUGAGGAGAGGAUUGUCCAAGAUUAUAUAAGGAGAACAAGGACCCUUUAACCCACCGAUGUGGGACUCCAACAUUACAUGCUAGCGCUCACCCCGCUAGCCGUCCUAGGACGCUACAUUGUUUCAUAAUGUAGGGUCCGAGGACACCUCUUUAUCCCUGUGCAGCGCGUUAGGUGAUCCAGGUUCGUCAGUUGGUUCGCGGUGAAGUGGUGAGCUUUCAUCCUCCGAAAAUCUUAGUCAUUCCAUCGAUUUACUAUCUUAUCAUGCGUGGUUGUCUUCUGCUCUUUGUUAUGUAUUAUGUUUUGGACAGGCUCAAGGUGGGCUUGAGAUAUCCGUCACGAUUAGGACCGGGGUCAGAUCGUGACAGUAAGAUACAUAUUGUUGUGGUUAAUGACCAAGAAAUACAAAUUUACGUGUUAUUUUGCUAUAUAAUUAAUUAUCAGCAACCAAAGUUGAUGUGUGUUAAUUGCAGUUGAUGUGUUUUUUUAUGUCGUUAAGAAAUCUUUCAUCAUUAAAAAAAAAAAAAGAAGAUGUUUUGUAUUUCUGCAGGUCUUCAACAGCUCCUCAAGGGAUUAUAAAUUCUCCCCAUCCACUGCAAGCACUAUUUAUCGUUACGAUUUCCAAUUCUACCAUAGAAUACAGGGUAGUUGUGCUUAUAUUUUUUCUUUCAGGCAAUUUCUUUGGUCAUCUCAUUUUUACAAUAAUUUAUGAUUUUGGAAAUUCUAAAAUAAAUCAUGCUUUGAUUCUAUAAUUCAAGUCCUGAUUCCUUAUUCUACACAUCAAAGAAGUUAUCAAACAUGUAUGUACAACCUUAGAAUUUAUAGUAGUGUUUUAUCAUUCUAAAUCUCAAUUGAUAUGUUUGAUGUUCAACUUACUAUGAGAGCAGGACAGUUUUAAAAAAAAAAAAAGAUUCAGGUGAUUUCGUCAUGUUACUUUAUUCAAUUUGUGGAUACUAAUUUUAAAUUGUAUGUAUAUGAACAAUUUAACAUCAUUCUAUUACUGCAGAGUAAAUAAGUUUUUACAACUAAAUUUGUGUUCCAACAAAUUUUCACGUACAAAAAGAUAAAUAUUGGGUCCGCACACGAACAACUGACAUCUAGUAUGGAAAUAAACGUGUAUAUUUACUUCAAUCAUCACUCAUUAACAAUAAAAUGACAAAUGGAGAUAAACGUACUUCAAUCAUCACUCAUUAACAAUAAAAUGACAAAAGUUGCUUGACAGUAUCUUGCGUCGGUUCCAAAUUCAUCUGUCAAUAAGUAUAAAAUCAUGGUUAAUAAAGUGCUUAAACAAUCGGAUGAAGUAAAUCUAAAAUCAAAGUAAAGGAAAUUAUUUAACAAUAUCUUAAAAUCCUCUUCCAUCUAUCCUAGUUCGUCUCAAUAAAAUUAGUGACUUAAAGCCAAAUUUUAAUACGAGGCCUUAAAUAUAUCAACAUAAUAAAAAUAUUAUCAAUAAGUUAGUGUUAUUUUUUUAUUCUUGUGCACUAUUUUUUUUAGUGUAGUACUAUUAUUAGAAGACAUUAUGCAUUAAACUUCAUAUAGUAAUUUUUCUAUUUAUAAAAUUAAGCUCUAAUUUUAAUUAAUAAGAUAUUAGGAAUUUGUUUGCAAUACAUUACUUUGAAUAUUAUUGUGAAAACUUUAUUUAUUAAUAUGAUGAUUCGAUAAAAAGUUUUAAAAAUUUUAAACAAAUGUAGAUAAUUCUUUUUUUUAAAUUUAAUUUAAAUUUUUUAUCUUUCAUAUUUUAUAAUUUUUAAUAUUAUUUUAAGUGAGAUUAAAAUCAUAAAAUUCAUAUUAAAAUUUUUGAGGCUAAAACAAACGUUUUACUAGCCUUAUUCUUGAGUCACCCAUGCCUAGUUUUGGAGGAUACAGUUAUCUGGUAUCUAUUGUUUAUGGGAGGUGACAGGUAUCACGUGAAUUUAGUUGAUAGGCACGAAAAGUGGCCAGGGCACCGCAGUUAUAAAUUAAAAAAAAGUGAUACUCUUCAGCUUGGAUAAACAAUCCACUACAUACCAAGUUAAAAUCCUUUACAGAUCAAAAAGUAAAGAAGAAAUUUCACAAAAUUAGAACCAUAAAAGAGAGGGAUGGGAGGAAGUAGACAGAAUUUUCUCUUCCUCAUGGCCCAGACAGAGAACUCCUAUUCAUGUUUUAACCACUAUAAACGUGUCUGAAUAACACCAGGCUCGAGAAAAUGUAGGUUCAUAUGAAGCACUUGAGAGAGCAUAAACAACCUUCAAGUUCAACCCAACUACAGGGAUUUUGGUGAGUCCGGAAUUGAAUCAUUUGGCCCAAGGUCAUCGAUUGGUGGUCGCUGCUUAUGAUGAUCGGUGACUGAUUGAUAAGCCAUUGCUAAAGCCAAGGCCUGGACAUAAACGAAACAAACAAAAUCAACGAGUGCGUGAAAGAAUAAGCAGCAAAAUUAGAAGUUCAAAGCCAUCCAAUUGUUGUUUGAGUCCAGAAAUACCCAUGACUCAACAGCAAAGGUACGACGAUACAUCUUUCCAAGAUCAAAAUAAUAUAUACUACAUACAUCCUUUACACAUUGCUACUACACUAAAAACAAGAGGAUCAUAACUAAAGAACACUUACGACAUGAUCAUGGUCUGGAGGAGCAUAUAUGCCCGUAGUUACUGUUUUUCUCCUUCGAGUAUCAUUUGACGGUGCAUCAGAUAUCUUUUUGAAUCCUGUUGGAACAACUACUACUGGAAUACCCACAAGAUUGCCAAGACAAACUUUCUCCCACUCAGUUGCAUUUCCAAUAAAUGCAUCAACUUUGAAACUUUCUCUCACUUGCUGAAUCAACAUACCUCUAGCUCUUUGUGCCUGGUGAAAUAUCAUACACGUAUUGAUCUUAGCAUUGCCAAAUUUUGAACAACUGUAUAAAAGUGGAUUAACACCUCCAUUCAGAUUUUGAGAUGUCUGAAAGAAUUUAAUUAAUUAAGGUUUUUCAUCCUAUACCAGUGAUAAUUAAUCAAACAUACAGUUUUAAACAUCUAAACCAAGAGAAACUUUGUAGAUCAAGAUAAUAACCUGAAAAUAGUCAACGGCAGAUAUGGCACGUGCUCGGCGAAGUCUAAUAGGCCAUUUAUCUUGGUCUUCAAAUUCAUCAUCCAGAUUUGAGCGCUGCCAUUUGUCAAAGUGAGCCAACAUCUCAACAUCCAUUGUGAAAUUGAGGAUACCUUGGAAAGAAUCAACAGUGUAACUCAGGUUAAAUGGGACCAUAUUCGCUCCUUUUGAUUGGAGUACGUGAACAACCUGUCAUCGCCAUGACAAUGCAAUCCAGGUAAGACAUUCAUCAAAUAGGAUACAGAACCUAAUUAACACAGCCCCAUUCCAAUACUGGAAAAUAUUUACUUACUUCCAUAUCAGCAUCCUCAAGAUAUCCAACAGUGAGCUUUGUGAUAUCAACUCUGGGUCCUUCCCUCGAAUGGCAUCCAGAACAAUUGCACAAUCCACAGAAUUUCUACAAAAAGGGCCUAAUUUAUCCUGACAAGAAGUUAGAUUUCAGUGUAUUAUACUAAAAACUAGUAUUAGGAAAGAGAAUUGCACUGUGGAAGAAAUAUUAAGUACCAAGCUUUCAGCUAUGCUCAUAAUACCCGUUCGACCAACAGCUCCAAAAGUGGGCCGCAGCGCCGUCACGCCACAGCGAGAAGCUGGAAAGGUAAUGGAGCCGGCAGUUUCUGAACCGAUUGCAAACGGAACCAAACCUGCAAUACCAGUCUCUCUCUCUCUCAAACAAUAUGUUCUGCGUACUAAUAAGUCAUAAAACAUCGAGCAGAAUUGUCAUAUUUGCAAAUUUAGAAGGCAGGAUGCAUAGAUCGGAAUCUAAUCAGGGAUAGAUCAAUAGCUCAUGGAUACCUGCUGAGGUGCAAGAAGCAGACCCUGCUGAUGAUCCUGUAGAAUAUUCCUCGAUAUUCCACGGGUUUCUUGUUCUUCCACCAAACCAGAUGUCAGCAUAUGCUAAAGAACCAGUUACUAACUUUGCAACAAGAACUGCCCCGGCAGAUUUCAGCCUGCAUCAACCAUAUCUAUAUUACUAAAAUACACGCACAGUAAGAAUGGGUGUCUAGAUCUGGCCUCAUAUGUCAUUGAUAUCAUGAUUAGUUAGUUAUACCUCUUAUAAGCCCAAGCUUCAAUAUCAAGAACUUGGUCUUUAAAAGAUGUUGAACCCCAUGUUGUGGUAUAGUUAGGUACUGCUAUGAUCUCCUUAAGACCAUUGGGAAUCCCAUGAAGAGGACCUAUAUAGAAAAGAAGAUGUUAUACUUGUAAUCCUUUGAGAGAGCAAAAUAUUGUUAAAAAGGGUUAUGAGGCUAUUAGUGACACAAGGAAAAGUGAUCAAACAAAAAGUUGGAAAAAACAUUUUUUGUAUUACUCUCCACAUUUAAUAAAGAAGUACCAAGGAAUAAGAAGCUACCUAUGCCCUAAAUUCCUCUAAAGUAAAAAAAUAAAUCAGGGAAAAUUAUUUCAGAGCAUUAGGUGAGAAGUGAAGGAAGCAUUAAUUACUAUCGGUGGAAAACGGAACUAUAGGAAAUGAACAACCUCAGCAUCAAGAGAAGAUCAGUCCGAAGAAAUUGGAGAAUAUUGCAGCCUGAAGAUUUAGGAUUUCCCUGAUUAGGUGUAUAAUUUCGAUGGUCUAAUUUUAAUACCGCUGAUAAACAUAAAUCAUUUUCUUCCAUUGUAGUUAUGAUGCUCACAUUUUAUUUUUCUUUAUGGAGAAUUUGGAUGUACACCAUUACCUUUUUCAGAUGUAAAGGUCCUUGACAUCUAUGGCGAUCUAACAUGAAUCAUUAUUAUUGAGGCAUAGUUCAUUCAUCGAUUGAUGGAAAAUCCAAUAUUAUGAAGGUGAAUAGGAAAUACGUGAAAGAGGCUAGCGGAGAGGAAAUGAGCAGACUGUUACCCAGAUAUUUGCCUUCAGCAAGCAGUUGGUCAGCCUCUUUUGCUUGUUUGUAUGCUAAUUCUUCCGUAAUUACAUUGACGGACUCAAGAACAGGACCAUACCUGAGACAUCCCCAGUAGAUAUUUCAUUAUGAGGACUAGAUACCAAUAACAAUAAAAGAAUUGGAAGCAAACACUAGUUCAAACACCUCUUCAGUCUCUUCAAGAAAAUUCCAGUCAGCUCCACCGAUGUGAUAAGAUUUUCCUUGAGAAGCUGCCCGAGUUCAAGAAUCUGAUAUAACAGCAUGGGUGCAUGAUUAGACGGAAUGUUUUAUAAAUUUGAGCACGUAAGUCCUACUAUGGGAUCACUUACACUCUGGAACGCGAUAUCCUCAUCACUUUUUGGUCUCUGAAUACCAACAGGUGAUGGAUAAUUGAUCUUUUUAUUUGGUUCAUUUUCUAUCUGUUGGACCUUCCAUGCUGAAUUGAAGACUAAACAAGACGGGUUAUGCAGACCUCCAUCAGUAGUGGCAACCAACUUUCGGUUAGAUCUGAUUAUAGGUCUGUUGAAGUCGUUUGCUCCCUUUUGGAUUUCAAGCAUCUGAAAGGAAUGAACGUUAUUGUCAAAUAUAUAGUCUUGCUUUAUAUUCUAGUUCAGAGCUAGAAGGAUAACCAGAAAAAUUAAAAUGUCACAAUAGUACCUUCUUCUUACUCAAGAAGCUGGAGUCCAACAUUUUGAAUCCACAUUCACAAACCGGAAGAUGUUUGGCCUCUUCCAAGGGGUUUUCAAGACCCAAUUUUUCACUUUCCUGAUUAACGAUCACAUAAUUAGACAGAAAACACCAAAGUCUAGAAAUUUAGAACUGCUUUCCAAAUGAUACAGAUGGUCAUGUAACUAUCAAUUUUUUUCACAAAAAUCACCAAACUUUAACUAUAUUAACACAAAAAUCAGACAACCUGAAAAUGCUUUCUGAUGGACAACUCAUCUUUUACCUUUUCUGAAAAACUAUGUAGUAAUAGAUAAAAAGUUCAAUUAAAAAUCCAAAUGAAGAAAGUAAACUAUCAAAAGAACAGAACAGGAGUACAGAACCACACUUCCCCCCCCCCCNNNNNNNNNNNNNCAAAAAGCUGUUGAAAAUUAGUGAGGAGGAAACAAUGUUUCAACCUGAUUCUUCAUAUGGAUUUUGGGUUUGGUCGGAGCUUUUUAAUUGAAUUUUGUUUAUUGCAUUUAUAAAUAAAUUUAUAAAAAAAAAAAAAAAAAAGAGUUAUCUACUGGAAAUUUGGAAAUUUCAGGUUGUACGUGACCAUACGUGAAAUUUACACUGAAAACACAUGUAUAGUUUGAUGACAAGAAGAAGUAUACAUGCUAAAGUUGACCACUUGUCGCCAGUGAUAGUAAUAUCUUUGGGCGUUUAAGCUUUUCAAUAACAAGCUGGAGAUGAGAUUCUUCAUUUACCAUAUCUGUAGAACUGCUGCAAGUAAAAUCCCCAGGAUAUCCUGAUGAAGAAACAUAGUUAAAUAGAAGCACCAAUAUGUGCAACAGCAACAACCAACGAACUGAACGUGUCAGAAGACCCUUUUCACUUGCCAUGAGGAACUAGAUUUCCGGCAGUUAAAUGCACCAAAUUAUAGGAUCAUCAGCUUCCUUUCCACUCCUUAUCGACUGAACUUUCCAAAUUUGUUUAAUAAUUAGUAAAAGGUAGGAGUAUUGUUUAGUUGAGUUGUUGAGCUAGAUCUAAUAUCACAUUUAAAAAUUAUUUUAAAAGAUCUACUAUCGCUUAGAAAACACACCAUAAAAAAAAAGAAAUUAACUUGACACGAAAUUUAAAAAAAUAAAAUAAAAAUUUAAAUCUUACGCUUUUAAAUUAAAAAUAUGUUAAAUAUAUCAAAAUGUCAUAUCACGUAAAAAGUUAAAAUUAAAAAGUUACUGUUAAAAAAAAAAAGAAUCAUUUUUUUUUAACAGGACUAAAAAAAAAUAAUCAUUCCUUUUUUUUCAAACUGAGGGAGUAAUUUUUUUAAUAAUGUUAAUAACUGAGGUGUAGUCAUCUUCGUUGUUUGUUAUAUGUAGCCAAUUGUUAUCCAUUUUUUCUAUCUAUUACCUGUAAUCUUAAAGGGCACAACCCCUGCCCGCUUUUAUUUUUGGUUUCAAAAUUUCAAUAUCUAUUUUAAGGUAUGUAGAUAUUUUGUUUAUUGCAUUUUGGAUCUUUCCGAUUUUCACAUCAACUCCGCGACGCUAAUUGCUUACUUGAAAAUCUUACACUCCCUCUCUUCUAAGUACUUUUCAUAUUUUUGAUUUACAUGUCUCUUAAUAAAUUACUAUUUAUUAUGAAUAUUUUUUUACAUCAUAUUCUUAUUUAAUUUCUUUAAUCAUUUCUCAAUCAAUGAAAAUUUUAGUUUUUUUUUUUAACUAAAAGUAUACUUUAUUAUACCUUGAUUUUGUAAAAUUACAAGCAUCGUGAGCAUUUAAUAACACUUACAUUUAUCUGUUUUAUAUGUUAAAAGAUUAUGAACACUAAAUAGUUAAAAUUUAAAUGAAUAGAAUAGUAUCCUUUAGUUGAAGUUUACUUAUGCUUUUAUUUACUACUAGGCGUUGAACUAUCGGCACGUCAGAAGCCUCAUCAAAAUGGCCCUUAGUUGGUAAGCCGCACAAAACGAUCUAAAGUAAGCCGCACAAAACUAUCUAACUGAUUGUCAGGAAUUGGGUUGGAGUGCUGAUGGCUGUGAGGUUGCAACUGUCGAAGCCUGGAGUUAUGUUUAGUUCAAUAUCAAAUUAAUUAAAGGGACCUCUAACAAAAUUAAACAAAUUUUAGAAGGACAACGACCUUUACAAAAGAAACAAACAAGAAUAUUCUAUUCUUUUGAAAUCUAUGAUAUAGGGAGGAUAUUCUGAUCAAUCGACAUCCAGAUAAAAAUUGUCCCAUAUACACUACAGAGAUACAUGCUUGUUUUGCGGGGAAGCAUAUUGCUGGAAAAACAUGCUCGUCUUGGUCAUCAAGAAUUUGAGGAAAGAGAAGAGGACAAAAAAAAAACAACAGGAAAACAACUAGCUCAAAAAUCUAAAAGAAGCCCGACUGAGGUCAUUAGUGCCAUUUCCCAUCCUAAUUGUCGCUCCGUGCGAGUGCCUUACCAAUCCUAAUUGUCGCGCCUAGUCCUCCUACGAGGAGCAGCUGCAGCAUCCUCACUCUGCUCUUCCUUCUCCUCUGUGGCUUGACUAUUGGAAGUGGAAGUUUCAGCUGCAUCAGUUUUUUCAGUCUCUGCACUAGCUCUAGCCUGCAGAUAUACAUACACAGCAGAGACAUAAGAAAAAAGACAAACAGGUGGGGGUUCUUUCAUUGAUUUGUUCUUUUAACUAAGAUGGCACGGAUAUUGGUGCUUACCGGCUUCGGCUGCGGCUGCUUCUUCCCACCAAAGAUGAGCUUCAAUAGAAUUGAGAAGAAAACAACUACGACUGAGAUGACAACACUAACUGUGAGAUUGGGUUGUGCCUCAGCUUUCUCGAGAAGAUCCUGGAAAAAUAAGUCGAGAUUAUAUUAGAUACUUGCAGCAAAAUGAAACCCUUCAAUGAAACAAAACAGUAGUUCCUACACUUACCAGUACUUUGGCCUUGUGUUCGCCCAAGAACGGGACGUCAGCUACCUUGUAGAGGAGGUCAAAUACUACUUUCUGCAAAGUAUUGCCAAAUAUUUCAAGUUGUGUGAAAUGAGAAUAAAUCUAACGCAUAGAAAUUAGAUGGUAAAGAAAGUUUAGUCCUAUACCUGGUAUCUUUUGAGACCACCAGAUUCUGCUGUUUCCUCGGCUUUUUGCUUCUCCUUCUCUACGUCAAACUUGGGUUUCCAGGCAGUCUUCCUGUAUGAUUCAGCAACUUUUUCAUCACUUGCUAUCAAGAUAUUGUCAAACAAUAUGCCAUCUUGCAUUGUCCAUAUCUCAAUGCCAAUAGCUGCAAUUGGCUCAAAGUUGGGUUUGUCAAGUUCAAAAUAGUCGGGAUUUGGGAUAUCCCUGGGCUUCCAUAUACCCUUGUAAUUGGGGUUGUCAAUCAGUGGAGCAUGCCAUUUUCCCUUGUAAGCUGGAUUUCUCUUCAUUGGUCUUUUCCACUCCCCACAUCCAGGAGCUUCCUCACAUUUUGGGUUGUCAGUUUUUGGAGCCUCCCAUAAACCAUCCUCCUCAUCAUCCCAAUCUUCAGGCUUUGUGGCCUCGGGAUUAUCGAUCUCCUCAGGCUCAUCAUCCAACCAUCCUUCAGGCUUCUCAGCUUCCUCAUCUUCAAUUUCCAUUGGUGCGUCCUCAUCCCAAUCAUCUGGUUUCUUAGCAUCAGGGUCUGGAAUUUUGGCUCUCUCGUCCCAGUCCUCGGGCUUCUUGUCUUCUUGACAGCUGAAAGGAAGUUAGCCUUCUUUUUUUCUUCCCCAUCAACAAAGAUCAGAACUUCAUUGUCCGGUUUCAACACAGCAGUGUAAACAUGGGUUAGUUUGUCAGACGGUACGGAAGGAGGAAACUUGAGGUGGUGCUCAAUGAACUCCCCACUCUUAGGAUUCUUAUGUUUCAAAAUGAAGUGCACCUUGUUUGUGGCUCCACAUUUAUCUGGUCCAAACAUUACCGUAUAGGGGGACGCAUUAUCAAAACCCUUUGCAGUCCAACCUGCUUCCUGGGGACGGAGGUAUUUUAGGUAGGCACCACCACACUCAAGUCCCUCCUGGAGGCGAACCUCAUAUUGAAGGACCACAGUUCCGUCUUUGAGGUCAACAACAUUGUCAAGCUCCUUGACAAUGGCGUAUUUCCUAGCCUUCUCACUCACUAGAAGUCCAUAAUCAUCAUGUCCCUCGCUCUUGGCAUGUUUCCACACACCUGAGAUAAAAUUAUAUGUCCAUUUAAACUUGCAAGAUCAAAGAUUAGACAUCACUUCACUAAUGCAAAUG